UCCCCUGCUUCACUGGGCACAUGCAAGGGGCAGCUUAGAAAAUGGAAGAGCAGAGCUGCCAGAGGAGAGCUUUCUGACGGGCAGGCACAUAACUCUAUUCUGGAAUUCAGGUGUUCAGUGAUGCUCUGGACCCUGGAGGCAGCACUACACCCUUGCUUAGGUUUGAGUAGGGCUGAAUUUCAGGUAUGUUGACCGUAACCCACCCAUGCCCGAGCGUGGCUAUACCUCUGAUUUGAAGUUCAACUGUGUGAUAAAUGGGAGGACUACUACCCUUUACCGAACAUCCCCACUAUUCUGUUAACUAAAUUGCCUGUAAGGAUUAAGCCCAGAGACAGUAGGUUCCUGAGAAUCUCCAAGAAAUGUCAGCAGAGAGCCAGGACAGUCAAUGGGAAGAGAGUGAGAACUCUGAAUUGAAGCAGUGAUCUGCCUGCAGCAGUCUUUAUGUGAGUUCAGAGGAGAGGUGGAUUAAGCCAGGAACGAGACAUAGCAUUUCUAGCAAUAUUCAUGCUUAAGAAGAACUAUACCUUGGAACAACAGAGAGUGCCCGUGGUAUGAAGUUGCAAGGCAUUGCUAAACAGCUGCUACAUUUCACCCCAGGGAUGGCUGCAUUUUCAGUGGUUGUGAGGGCCAUCAACUCCAUCCUGCUGUGCAGGGUCAUCCACCUGGGAGAUCUGGAUCUGAUUGUCACAGGAUUUGCCGCCCUGGGGUUCCCCAGACUGCUCAAUGAGUUGGUGCUCAAUCUGUGUACCAACUCAUUGAGCAGCUCAAUACAUAAACCACAAGGGCUACUUCUCCAUGGUGCUACAGGCUCUGGUCAACCACCGUGGACACUUCACAGACAUUUUCAUGGGGUGGUCGGGCAGGGUACAUGACACCCACAUUUUCAGAAACUCAAGUGGCUACAGGAAGCGGGAGGCUGGCACAUUCUUCUCCCAGCAUGAAUUUUGCAUUGGGGACAUGUACAUGUCACUGUGCAUUGUGGGAACGCAGUCUACCCCCUCAUGCU